rnacentral:rRNA from 1 species
UACGAAGGGGGCUAGCGUUGCUCGGAAUCACUGGGCGUAAAGGGUGCGUAGGCGGGUCUUUAAGUCCGGGGUGAAAUCCUGGAGCUCAACUCCAGAACUGCCUUUGAUACUGAAGAUCUUGAGUUCGGGAGAGGCGAGUGGAACUGCGAGUGUAGAGGUGAAAUUCGUAGAUAUUCGCAAGAACACCAGUGGCGAAGGCGGCUCACUGGCCCGAUACUGACGCUGAGGCACGAAAGCGUGGGGAGCAAACAGG